GAUGAACGCUAGCUACAGGCUUAACACAUGCAAGUCGGGGGGUAACGAGAGGAAAGCUUGCUUUCCCUGUCGACGACCGGCGCACGGGUGAGUAACGCGUAUCCAACCUGCCCCCAACUAGGGAAUAACCUUGCGAAAGUAAGACUAAUACCCUAUAAUUUCCUCAGAUGUCAUCUGACGAGGAAUAAAGAUUUAUCGGUUGUGGAUGGGGAUGCGUCUGAUUAGCUUGUUGGCGGGGUAACGGCCCAACAAGGCAACGAUCAGUAGGGGUUGUGCGAGGAAGGUCCCCCACAUUGGAACCGAGACACGGUCCAAACUCCUACGGGAGGCAGCGGUGAGGAAUAUUGGUCAAUGGGCGGAAGCCUGAACCAGCCAAGUAGCGUGCAGGAUGACGGCCCUAUGGGUUGUAAACUGCUUUUAUACAGGAAUAAAGUUAGCCACGUGUGGUUAUUUGUAGGUACUGUAUGAAUAAGGACCGGCUAAUUCCGUGCCAGCCGCCGCCGUAA
rnacentral:rRNA from 1 species